rnacentral:rRNA from 1 species
CCUACGGGAGGCAGCAGUGAGGAAUAUUGGUCAAUGGCCGUAAGGCUGAACCAGCCAAGUCGCGUGAAGGAAGAAGGAUCUAUGGUUUGUAAACUUCUUUUAUAGGGGAAUAAAGGUAUCCACGUGUGGAUAUUUGCAUGUACCCUAUGAAUAAGCAUCGGCUAACUCCGUGCCAGCAGCCGCGGUAAUACGGAGGAUGCGAGCGUUAUCCGGAUUUAUUGGGUUUAAAGGGUGCGUAGGUGGUUUUUUAAGUCAGCGGUGAAAGUUUGUGGCUCAACCAUAAAAUUGCCGUUGAAACUGGCAGACUUGAGUGUAUUAGAGGUAGGCGGAAUGCGUGGUGUAGCGGUGAAAUGCAUAGAUAUCACGCAGAACUCCGAUUGCGAAGGCAGCUUACUAAGCCAUAACUGACACUGAAGCACGAAAGCGUGGGGAUCAAACAGGAUUAGAUACCCGGGUAGUC